rnacentral:rRNA from 1 species
AUGGCGCAUGGUCAACCUUCGGUUUCCUCUUAUCAGUUGACCCUAUCCGAAUUAGCUAAACAACAGUUGUGUGAGCCAGCAACUGAUGAAUUGGCUAACCCGGUACUUGUCCAUUCAACAUUACCACGGGGAACUUUGGAUUCUUCCCUCCGUGGAUGGCACUCUGAGCAUUCGUUUCAUGCCUUGUGUUUCCAUCCAAUGGCACCCAUUCCUCAAGCUGAUCUAGACUUUACUUUAGGGACCAUGAUAAUAUCACAAAAAUUGGGCUGGGAGUAUCAUGAAAUCCAGUAUGUCAAACGUCCAAAGGGUUAUACUCAAUGGGGUGUUGAGGUCUUAAACAAUCAUUAUUUUAAUCUUAAAGUGGGUGAAGAAAAUAUGGACUAUAUUCGUGGCGCCAUUUAUUGUUCCCUUUGCGAUUAUUCUGUCAGCCCCUCUUUGCUCCGCUCUUUACUAGAGAGGUGGAGUCCUCAAACCAAUACUUUCAUGCUCUCGUGUGGCGAACGCACCAUCACUUUGCUUGAUUUGUUGCUUAUGGCUGGGCUGCCUAUAGUUGGCGAACCCUAG